AUGUGAAGUUCUGAUGUGUAUCCACUGGAGGUCUUAUGGGCACCACUGGUUUAAGAAGGUCAGAGGUCUAGAAACCGUAUCCUACAUGCCCCUGAAAUGAGGAUAGUAUAACCUGGAGAGGAGCAAUUGUCAUGUGAAAAAGGAAGUAGACAUUUUUCUGCUCUGGAGAAUCAAACUACAAUUAAGCCCCCUAAUUUGGUGAGAAAUCUGGUUAAGUGAAGUUCCUUGAAAGCAGCACACAACUUUUCUCCAAAGCUGUGAAAUUGGCAAAGGAUAUAGUACAAGAAGAAAAAGAGAAUACAGAUGACAUCGGAGGUCCAAGAGACAUUCCAUACUUAAGCUUCAUAAUGUCCUUAUUUGCACACAUAUACCACACUGCCUUCAUUUUCUCCAGCUGAUAGAUUUGUGUAAGAAAUCUUGACUUUGAGAGUUCAAUGUCAUUCCCAACAGGGUCUUUAUGUCUGUCUGGUCAUGUUAUCAGCCAGGCUUACUUAAUGUGUUAGGCCAGUUGGAAACCAUCAUUAAAGAAACUGACCCUGGUGAUCACCAGAGUAGUUUCAGACUAUAAACAACACAUCAUAAAUCCCACUGCCCUUAUCUUGGCCAAGAGACAAAACUGGACAUUCUGAUGACCCCACAGAUUAUGACAAUGUUUUCUGGUCUAAUUAAACCAUAGUCUUCAUAUACCUUUACCACACCUCCUUCCUCCAAUUAGGAAGCUAAGUGGGUAAGAAAGGAAAAAUAAAGGCAGAGCAUAACGAUGUCACCCAUCUUUGGCCUCUUAGCCGGAGCUGACCCUUGCAUGGGCAGUAGACUAUAAGUGUGUUAAUUAUUUUUCCUACUGCAGAGUUUCUUCACGUUGGAAUGGUGAAUAGGUACACAUUUCUCAAAGCUCAAAGUGCAAGUCUAAGGAUAUUCUCUAGUUUCAAUCUUGGUGAAAUUUUUUUCUAUGAAUUCAUUACUUUUUAGUUUAUUUCAGGGAGGGGGUGUUGUUUUUUAAUGAACUAAUACAAGUGUCAGCAUCUUUCGUGGACAUCCAGACAAUUUCUUAAAGAUGGGAGAGGUAAAAAAUCUUCAGGAGAAACUGUGCCUGAACUGUGAGUAUCCAGAAGCCAUUGACCAUGUUAAUGGUGGAGCCAAUAUGAAGUACUUGCUAAAUCAUGUGGUGCAUGAAAAGAAGAGCAAUGUUACAAUUCCAUCCUCCUAAAGACUACAUAACCAUCAUCACUCAUCAUCUCUCCCUGGUCCCUUCCACCUGCCAAACCCCCAUAAAAACCCAUAAUUGAUGAUACAUAUUAGUUUAUAAUUAACGGUGUACCUAACUGUUCUCUACUAGUCUGAGCCUCUGUACAGAGAAACGUCAGUUUUGUAUUCCUGGUUCCUGGAAAAGUACAUAUAGAAUAGUAUAAAUACAAUAAAUGUUUGAAUUAUCGUGUAACUUGAGUCUAAAUUUUAAGUUAGUAUCCUGUAUUAAGAACUGGGUUGACCAAAUGGUUCUUUGCACAUAUCAAGGCUUUCGACUAUUCCCAACCAGAUCUUCCCAAAUUUGGGCAUAUUCCUGCCUCUGCCUACCCUGUUCUAAUUUGGCACUCUAAAGAUAGUUCAUAAAAAGCAAGCCAAAGAUAGAAAAGAGAGCUAAGGCUACAGGAGAAAUUUACUCUUUAACAUUUGGGGGAAGGAAAAUGAGGCUUGUCUACAGCAGGGACUGGCUGUCUUCCAGAAAUGGUUUCCCAAGGUGUUCCCUACCUGUCUUUUUCUUGGAUAUCCUUUUGCAUUAUAGAUAGCCUUGGGAAGGGUGUCACGUUUAUCCUAUCAGUUACACCUAAUCAAUUGUAGUCAUCUGAGAGCCAGAAUUAUUGAUAGAGGGGCCAGGGAAAGGAGAAAAGGACGAGGAGAGAGGAAGGUAUGCUUAUUGCAGAGUAGAAAAGCCAAAGAACGUUUGCCCGUGGGCAGUCUUAGCUAUUUAAAAUCAACCACUUCUUCACCCGGCUCCCUUGGCACAUGUAUCACCCCAUGGAUUGGGAGGUGUAGGACCAUUCUUUUUCUUUCUGGAAGGAAAGCACUGACAUUUAAGCUCUGUGCGGUCUGCUCAGGGGCUGCCCAGUUUGUCCAAGCUUUAGAAUAUUAGAGAGAUUACGCAUUUGUGGUCUCAAGUUAGGAAACUGUUGAAGAACAAAUAUGUCCCUUAUUAGAGGGACUCUUUAGAUGUUUAGGAUGCUCACAAUCCUUGCCAACCUGAUGUCCUUGGAAGCUCCAGUCUGGCUGUAAGGAGAUGAUGAGGGGUUCUGUGUAUUGGAGGUGAUGACCUCAUUGAGUCUCAGCCACAGCAGGGCAUUAUGCAGGAAAGAAUUCAAUGGAGUUAUUUAAUACCUUUCCCUAUUCCCACAAAAAUCUGGAACUGGGUUCUGAACUGAGAAGUCUGGGUUCCCUGAGAAUUGAACAUCAAUUCAACCACAGGAAGCCUCUAAAUUUAGCACUCUACUCACAGAAGGCCAAGAAAAAUUCACAAAUGUCACAAACUUAGGAACUUAGGUAUCUAGUCUUCUCUGUCGUUUUGUAAUGAGAAACUGAGGCCCAUAGGUAAAACAUCUCACCUCCAGUCACACAGGUAAGUACAUGGCAGGGCAAGGACAGGAACCCAGUUUUCCCAAAUCCAGUGGCCUUUUCAUGAUACCCAUUGAUUUCUGUGACAGCUGGCCCUUUGCCCGUCAUCACCAAAUCUUAACUCUUUGGACUUUAAUAAUGUGCAAAAUUAAGAGGAAGUCUGGCACCGGGAGACACAACUCAGAGAGAACUGAGGAAAGUAGUUAGCAUGUUAACUGUGCCUUACCUUGACCUGAAGUGAAGAGCACUCACCAAGCCACAACCUGCUAUCUGCACACCCCACACCAUGAAGUAAAGGACAGCCAAGGAAGAGAAAGGAAAGAAAAGCAAUCCGGCAGGGAGAGCAGGGAGCAAAACGAUCAGAGGUUCUUUCCAAGGGCCUUCUAUUUUUCUACAAUCUGCACACAUUCAGUACUGAGAUACAUUAAGAAGGGCCCACUGAGGCCAUCAUUCACCCUACUCUCGGGCUGCUUCCAUCCUCCAGGCUUCUAGAAGUUGAGAACUUAUGAGCUUCAUUGUUAACUAUAUUACAGAAAAUGGGACCAGCUGGGUUGCGCCCACUCCCCUGUGUCUGGACCUCCUGCCUAUGUAGCAGAAAAGGAUCUUUCUGCUGAAUUAAUAUUCACCUCAGAGCCCUGGGAGAUGUCUGAUGAAAAGUAGUUUUUGAAGAGUCUUGUGACAACCAGUAAUUUCGGCAAAGCUGUGUCCUCAAGAGUCUGCCAGAUUCCCCAACUCUACAGAAUGCUUUUCUUUUUAAAUACCAUAAUCCCAUAAUCUUUCUCAAAAAUUAUAAAACUGUAUUUUAUUUUUCUCAUUUAUUUGGGAGUUUGGGAAGAAAUCUGAGAAACUACUCAGAUUUGAAACUACCUAGUUUAUACUACCAGAAGACAGAGAUUCAGGUUAGCUAGCUUGCUAAUCCUCACAGUUUCAGAGAUAUACCUUGUAUUUUUCCAGAUUAUAGGCUUUGAGGACAUUUACCAAUAGCAUCCUCUGAAUGUAUUUUGGUACUUUUGCUAAGCUAUGGCUUAUUUUAUAGUCCUCCAAAUGAUGAUCUGUGACUUCUCUGCCUGCUCAUUAGAGGAAGAAAAGCUCAGAUGCAUUGCUAACUAUUACUUCAAUGCCAGUGGAACUGGAGAAAUGCUUGAAAAAGUAAUCUCAGGUUGUAAAAAAAUACUACCUUUUUUUGGUUGCAGGAGCUAGAACCCUAUUAUUCUGAGAGUAAAUUUUCUAUUAUUCCUAUCUAAUUCAUUUUCUUGGGAGAUGAAACUCCCUCUUUUUUUUGGUGGGGGGACAGGGUCUCACUUUGUCACCCAGGAUGAUGGAGUGCUGUGACGUGAUCACGGCACACUGAAGCCUCAACCUCCUAGGCUCAAGCGAUUCUCUCACUUCAGCCUCCUGAAUAGCUGGGACCACAGACACACACCACCGUACCCAGCUAAUUUUUUGUAUUUUUUUGUAGAGACGGGGUUUUGCCAUGUUGCCCAGGCUGGUCUCGAAGUCCUGGGCUCAAGCGAUCCGCUCACCUUGGCCUCCCAAAGUGCUAGGAUUACAGGUGUGAGCCCCUCACUGCUCCUGGCUCCCUCAUUGUUAUAUUUCCUGAGGUUGAGAUGAUUUGGGUCCUUUACUUAGAAAUUGUCAUCACACAAUUUCGGAAAGAAAGGUAAAGAAAUCCAUUUUUAUUGGCAACUUUGGGCUAUGCUUCAUCCUGGCAAAAAUUUAAAAGCAGUACACUUCGACGUGGCUCACCUUCCUGCACACCUCAAGCAGCAUGUACAGACUGUCCAAGAAAAAAUGAGGAGGAAAAUGCUCCACCAAGGAAGAGGGAUGAGAUGGGAGCAUAAUUCACACACAAAGAACUGAGUUCUAAAGUCACUUGAGCUUUCUGGAGCUCAGUUGCCUGUAAAACAAGGAAGAAUGAAUGGUCUUUAUGGAAAAUGAAUGGCAGAAUAAGUGAUUUAUCAAGUUCAUUGAACUAUAAAUUCCAUUUUUACUGUCAUUUAUUUAUAACAAAGUUCAGAUAUAAAGAAAAAUCUGAACAUACAGUAGGCACAGAUAAGCCUAUAGCAAAUAUUCACAUGUGGUUUGAAUGCAUUUAUUAAUCUCUGUACUUAUUAGAAUUAAUAAUACUAAAAUGAUUUGGAGUAUUAAUGAUUAAUAAUAGUGGAAAAUAGCCUUCCCAUUAUUGUUAGAGGAUGGUGCCAUCAUGAUGCUAAAUGCCUAUCUGAGGGGAAGCUCAUAAAUAUUACUUGACAAUAUUACUUGAUAAAUAUUUGUUGAAAAAAGAAAUGUAGUAAAGAAGCAAGGAUGGCUGGGCGUGGUGGAGCAUGGCUGUGGUCCCAGCUAACUUGGGAGGCUGAGGUGGGAGGAUUGUUUGAGGGAAGCCGAGUUUGCAGUGAGCCAAGACUGCACUACUGCACUGCAGCCUGGGUGACAGAGUGAGACCCUCUCCAAAAAAAAAAAAAAAACAGAAAGAAAGAAAAGAAAAAAGAAGCAGCAGCAGCAACAAACGGAGGGAGGAAGGGAGAAAGUUUACUUUGAUAUGCCAUAUGAUUGAAACAAAUGCUCUUUUUUCAAAGACAAGGAUUAUACUCCUUUGCAUUCCGGCUACUUUAGUACAUUGUAACUUGGUAACCUUUGCCUUGAAAACAAAAAGAAUCCCUGGAUAUAAUCUCCUUCCUUGUAAUUUUUUUUAUAAGAUGUCAGUAUGGUAAUAGGUCCAUUAGCAAGUAAGUACAGGCACAUCUUAUUUUAUUAUACUUCUCAGAUACUGCAUUUUUUACAAAUUGAAGGUUUGUGGCAACCCUGCAUCAAGGAAGUCUGUUGACAUCAUUUUUGCAAUAGCAUGUACUCACUUUAUGUCUCUGUGUCACAUUUUGGUAAUUCUUGCAAUAUUUCACACUGUUUCAUUAUUAUCUCUGUUAUUAAAAUCUGUAGUCAGCGAUCUUUGAUGUUACUAUUAUAAUUACUGGGGGCACCACGAACGACACUUAUAUAACACAGUAAACUUAAUAAAUGUUGUGUAUGUUCUGAUUGCUCCAACAACCAACCUUUCUCCAAUCUUUCUCCUUCUUCUCAGGCCUCCUUAGUCCCUGAGACACAAUAUUGAAAGUAGAUCAAUUAAUAACCCUAAAAUAGCCUCCAAGUAUUUCAUGUGAGAGGAAGUUGCAAUCUUUCACUUUAAAUCAAAAGCUAGAAAUGAAUAAGCUUAGUGAGGAAGGUGUGUCAAAAGCUGAGACAGGCCGAAAGCUAAGCCUCUUAUGCCAAACAACCAAGUUGUAAAUGCAAAGGAAAAGUUCUUGAAGGAAAUUAAAAAUGCUACUUUGUGAAUACAUGAAUGAGAAGAAAGUAAAACAGCUUUAUUGCUGAUAUGGAGAAACUUUGAGUCAUCUGAAUAGAAGAUCAAGCCAGCCACAAAAUUCCCUUAAGCCAAAGCCUAAUUCAGAGCAAGGCCCUAACUCUCUUCAAUUCUAUGAAAGCUAAAGGGAGGUGAGGAAGCUUCAGAAAAAAAGUUUGAAGGUAGCAGAGUCUGGUUCAUGAGUUUUAAGAAAAGAAGCCUUGUCCAUCCAUAAAAGUGCAAAGUAAAGCAGCAAAUGUUGAUGUAGAAGCUGCAGUAAGUUAUCCAGAAGAUCUAGUUAAGAUAAUUAAUGAAAGUGGCUACACUAAACAAUAGAUUUUCAAAAGAGAUGAAACAGGCUUAUAUUGGAAGAAGAUGCCAUCUCAGACUUACGUACCUAGAGAGGAGUAGUCAAUGCCUCACUUCAAAGCUUCGACCAACAGGCUUACUCCUUGUUAGAGGUUAACGCAGCUGGUGACUUUAAGUUGAAAUCAAUGCUCAUUUACCAUUUCCCCAAAUCCUAUGACUUUUCAGAAUUAUGCUAAAUCUAAUCUGCCUGUGCUCUAUAAAUGGAGCAACAAAGCCUGAAUGACAGCAUGUCUAUGGACAGCAUGGUUUACUGGAUAUUUUAAGCCCACUUUUUGAGUCUUAACUGCUCAGAAAAAAAAAGAAUCUUUUAAAAAUAUUGCUGUUCGGGCUGGUUGCAGUGGCUCAUGCCUGUAAAUCCCAGCACUUUGGGAGGCCGAGGCCAAAGUCAGUAGUUCGAGACCACCCUGACUAACAUGGUGAAACCCCAUCUCUACUAAAAAUACAAAAAUAAGCUGGGUGUAGUGGCGGGCGCCUGUAAAUCCAGCUACUCGGGUGUCUGAGGCAGGAGAAUCACUUGAACCCCGGAGGCAGAGGUUGCAGUGAG